rnacentral:lncRNA from 1 species
ACGAUGCAAAAAUCAUAUAGAAAGCAACAGCUGUGAUUAAAUGAAUCCAGUGACAUGAUGAUUCACUUGAGUAGAAAUUUAGAAACAUACCUUGUUAUUGGAUAAAUAAAAGAAGGGUCAACCAUUGAGAUCAAGCUCAAAUUGAUGAGUAACUUUGCUGCUCCAUCACUCGGAUCCUUGUCCUGUACUUUAUGCUUCCUCCUUCCCUUGUGUAUGUUUCUGCAAAACCAUUUAAGAUGGAAAAAUAAGAAAGAAAAAACAAUAAUGGUACAUCAGAAAGUAGAAAGAACUGCUGGAUACGGGAACUUGUUUCCUAGUUUAGCAACCAGUGAUUUGUAAAAGUUGAGACAUACACCUAUUAUACAAGCAACAACAGAAGAACCUAAAUUCUGCUGCAGCAUAUUGUUCACUACCACUGAUGGUACACGUUCUCCCGAACUUAUGUGUAGCUUCAAAGCCGCAAAACCAUAGUGUCUGGUUGUUUCUGCUGCAGCUGCACCUAGCACAGACAAGCAUUGGAUUAACAUUGCUGAAAACUGAACCUAAAUAUGCAUCCCAUCAAACAGAAAUAGAGAGACAG